CUUUAAUUGAAGAGUUUGAUCAUGGCUCAGAUUGAACGUUGGCGGCAGGCCUCAUACAUGCAAGUCGAACGGUAACAGAUCGCUGUGAUCCCUUCGGGGUGAACUUGAUGCUGACGAGUGGCGAACGGGUGAGUAACGCGUAGGAAUCUACCCAGUAGCGGGGGAUAGCCCGAGGAAACUCGGAUUAAUACCGCAUACGCCCUAUGGGGGAAAGAGGGCCUCUUCUUGAAAGCUCUCACUAUUGGAGGAGCCUGCGUUGGAUUAGCUAGUUGGUGGGGUAAAGGCUCACCAAGGCGACGAUCUCUAGCUGUUCUGAGAGGAUGAUCAGCCACACUGGGACUGAGACACGGCCCAGACUCCUACGGGAGGCAGCAGUGGGGAAUAUUGCACAAUGGGGGAAACCCUGAUGCAGCCAUGCCGCGUGUGUGAA
rnacentral:rRNA from 1 species